GUAGAUACAGCUUAACAGCUCAUUUAGCAGCUGCUGAUGAUUACAGUCAUGAAUCUCUAUUGAUUUGGGGCUGCCCUACGUGGAAACAGGAUUUUUUGCACCUGAGCAACUGAGGCUAAAGCACUCCUGUAGCAAGUUCCUGCAGUACAGAUGGUUGGAUUUACAACUUGCAGUUUUACCAUGGGCUUGGUGUACUAACAGGGCACACAUUGUGGCUUGGACACAGUAGGAAAGGAAAGAAGAUAAAAGCACCCACCACUUACUCCUCUUGACGAAAACCUGACAGAGAUCACGAGUGGUCUUCUGAAGGCGCCACUGAAUAAAUGUUUGUGGUACAGAAUUUGUCUGAAGACACUGAAGAUGGUUGACAUGCACGGAUCCCUUUCCCUUGCAGGAUCAUGUUAGUAAUGCCAACUGAAGGAUGGUCCCAACUGAAUGUUAAGUGAUGGAGAGAUACAACUGGUCCUUCUGCCUGUUGAAAUCAAUGCAUCACUGAGGAGGUCAGAAAGGGUAUAAAAGGGCAUAAUUCGCACAUCUCAUGUUUUUCUUUAAAUGCUCUUCUGUUCAUGGAGAUACCCAUGAAAUCUCACUGAUAAAUUUACCACUGAUAAAUUCUUUUGCUGUCCUCAUGCAUGCCCGCAUGCUGCUUCUUGUUCAUUCCCUUUCCUGACCAGUACAGGUCAGGACCAGUGCAAGACUGAGACAGGAAUAAAAUAUAAUGUACCUUAAAUUGUUCUAUUCUACAUGAAAGCCAUUCACGUUGUCACUUUGCUUUUGAAGCACUACUUUGUGUUUUGUUUCUCUUGCUCUUUUCUGACUGAUGCUGCAGAUAUGAGCACAUGCCUACUUGUGAUACUGUGCUUCUUUUUUCUUUGCUUGUCUGAGUCUGUUCUAGGAUUAUUUCUGUGUGGUAGUGCGGUCAUAUCUGCUGUUUCAUUGUAAUGCUGGAGUUAGGUGGAGUACAGUUCGUGCUUUUAGCUUCAGUGAACUUUAUCAUUCAUUAAUUGCCAUGGACUUAAAUUAUUUGUUGAUGUAAAUUACUUCUAAAUCUCUUACUUCACACUCAAAAUUACGAUAAUUGUAAGUAGAUGAACUGAAAUGACAAACCUAAUGAUGCAAUUGCUUCCUGAUAGAGCUCUUUAGAUAAGAGGCAAUAACAACUUUAGUUUUGUCAGUGUCUCUAAGGACUGUAUUUUUUUUUUUUUCAUAACGUAAGACAUCUAUACCUAUCCAAGCUGGUCUGAUUUGUACAUCUAUCAGUAGAGCUGCUUGGCCAAAAAAAGAGUGGUGCUCCAAACAAAAAGAUAAAUAGCCAAUAUGGAAAAUUGAUCAAAAGCAAUUUUAUUUCAUUGAGAACAAAGGAGUGUUGAGUUUCUAUAUGAAUGUUUCAUAUGGGGUCUGAAUUACACAGUGUUGCAAAGGGGGACGCAAAUACUUUCCUCAUUGCUUUGCUAAUACGAUUGCAAAUCUGGACAAAUAUGAUAAAUAUGAUGAAUCUUAUGUCUCGCUGUUCCAAUAUAUGCCACAACUGUGCACAAGCUGGGAGGAAGAAGAAAACUUUCAAUCUCCAUAUAAGGUAGACUUCUAAAUGUGAGUGGUUUAGAAAGUUUUGUGUUAGACAAAAUGGGAAAGCAGAGUCUUUUUAUAGUUUUGUUCUUCUUCAUUUUUAGCUCUUGUUAUUCUGGUCUUGCAGGAGCCAGUGUACUAAUUAAAUCAUUCUGCCUUCUGAAGCCUGUUGGUCAUAUUUUAAUUGUGCUUUCAAUGAUUUUUUUUCAAAUAAAAUGGAAUGAGAAAAGUCUGUUGGAAAA